CGUAGAGAUGUGGAGGAAUACCGAUGGCGAAGGCAGCCCCCUGGGAUAAUACUGACGCUCAUGCACGAAAGCGUGGGGAGCAAACAGGAUUAGAUACCCUGGUAGUCCACGCCCUAAACGAUGUCAACUAGCUGUUGGGGCCUUCGGGCCUUAGUAGCGCAGCUAACGCGUGAAGUUGACCGCCUGGGGAGUACGGUCGCAAGAUUAAAACUCAAAGGAAUUGACGGGGACCCGCACAAGCGGUGGAUGAUGUGGAUUAAUUCGAUGCAACGCGAAAAACC
rnacentral:rRNA from 1 species